CAAUAGCGUAUAUUAAAGUUGUUGCAGUUAAAAAGCUCGUAGUUGAAUUUUUGCUUGCCGCCGAUGUCGGAACUUCCGUACGUUCGGCGGCGUGCAUCCUUGGGUGGAACCUGUGUGGCAUUAGGUUGUCGUGCAGGGGAUGCUCAUCGUUUACUGUGAAAAAAUUAGAGUGUUCAAAGCAGGCUUACGCCGUUGAAUAUAUUAGCAUGGAAUAAUAAGAUAGGACCUUGGUACUAUUUUGUUGGUUUGCGCACCGAGGUAAUGAUUAACAGGGACAGUUGGGGGUAUUCGUAUUCCAUUGUCAGAGGUGAAAUUCUUGGAUUUCUGGAAGACGAACUACUGCAAAAGCAUUUACCAAGGAUGUUUUCAUUAA
rnacentral:rRNA from 1 species